rnacentral:rRNA from 1 species
GUACCGUCAUUAGCUCAGGGUAUUCGCCUGAACCGUUUCUUUCCUCACGAAAGAGCUUUACAACCCGAAGGCCUUCUUCACUCACGCGGCAUGGCUGGAUCAGGGUUGCCCCCAUUGUCCAAAAUUCCCCACUGCUGCCUCCCGUAGGAGUCUGGGCCGUGUCUCAGUCCCAGUGUGGCUGGUCGUCCUCUCAGACCAGCUACGGAUCGUCGCCUUGGUGAGCCUUUACCUCACCAACUAGCUAAUCCGACAUCAGCCGCUCCAUCAACGUGAGGUCCUUGCGAAUCCCCCACUUUCCCCCUCAGGGCGUAUGCGGUAUUAGCACACCUUUCGGUGCGUUAUCCCCCAUUAUUGGAUACGUUCCGAUGCAUUACUCACCCGUUCGCCACUCGCCACCAGGAGCAAGCUCCCGUGCUGCCGUUCGACUUGCAUGUGUAAAGCAUGCCGCCAGCGUUCAAUCUGAGCCAUGAUCAAACUCUAAUCGAAUUCCCGCGGCCGCCAUGGCGGCCGGGAGCAUGCGACGUCGGGCCCAAUUCGCCCUAUAGUGAGUCGUA